GUGUAUCUAGAUCAGCUUUCACAGUGAAUUAAGAUGUUCAGAUGGUAGACUAGCUGUUUUAUUACAAUUCUGAACUAAAGCUAUCUGUAAAGCUUUGGUGUCUGUUUCUCCACUGCUGACUGACUUCCCCUUUUCUGCAGCUGGUCUGUGGAAAGUCACCACUGAUACCUUUCCUCGUCCCUCGCAAUCACAAAAAGAUAUUCCUGUUCCAGUACCAUUCUCUUAAUGUGGCUGUGCCUUUGCUUUUCAAUUUUUUCGCUGCUUUUCUUUCUUUCUUUCUUUUUUUAAAUUAUAUUCUACCUGUGAAAAGAAAAGAGAAGAUACAAAGAAGCAGCAAGGAGAUCUGCAGGGGUAUGGAUUCUUAAAUAAUUUUCUAGAAAGGUCCAGGUUUGAGUGAGGCAAAUGCACAUUGAUCUAGUGAUUUUGCACUCAAUUUUUGGUAUUCCUGGGAGUAAAUAAAUUGUAACCUGUUUCAGAUAAUCUGUUUUUCCUCUGUAGUUGUAGGUCCUAACAAGGAUGUUGUACCAGUGUCAGGUCAAGUUGGAGUAAAAUAUGGUGGCUUAAUUGGAGGUUCUGGAGUUAGGUGAUACAGUUGCAAGAGGAGCUCAGUGAGAUGGACACAGUUAGCAAGUAGCCACAUAACAAUAUAUAUAGUGAUAUAACCUUUCAUUUCUCCUUGCACCCUCCUCAGGGUCCCAGAUUUAUUCACUGCUGGAAGUCUGUACGUAUUCCUGCAAGAAUCAGUAUUAUUUGCAGAAUUUGAGACACUUCUUCACUGUGCAGGAGUGAGAAUGGGGGAACAAAACAUGGGAAAGGAGCUGAAGGCAGACAAAAAUUAGUUUAAGGAAGCUACACAGAACUGGUUCCUGGCACUCCCAUGGAGUUUUUUAAAUUGAAAAAAAACAUUACUAGCUGCUGUAUUUCCACUUCCCUAUUAGUUUUUACUAUGAGGAAGCCUGAGCUCAAUAGGAACUCUUAAUAAUAUAGAAGUAUUAUAAAUAUAGACAAAAAUCACAAGGGAAAAUAAUAUCCUAAGAACUCCAAGCUGGAAGCUUAGUGUGUGGGCACUUUUCUGUAAUUUUGCUAUUAAUCUCUUUGUCUGUCAGUUCCCUAUUUGGAAAAUAAGGUCUCUUAGUAAUAGGAAACAGCCCUGUCUGGAUGGCAUCUCAGACCUGAAGGGAAAACAUCUCACCAGAAAUAAGAACUGAACAAAGAGAAAGACCUGCCUGAUCCUGUCCUCAACUCAUCUGCACCUGAAAAAGAAAGGUUCUGGAAUUGCAGUCACCUCUGAUGCCUUCCAAGUAGGGAAGGAAGAUGAAAGUUUCCAACAUAGCCAGCAGUUAUGCACUACAUGGAUAUCACUGAUCUCUACAUGGACGGCAAAUUGAUUUCUUUCAGAUGCUCUUGACUUACUGUGUAUAUCACACGCACAGUGGGUCCAAUAUGCCCAGCAGAUAGUGAGCUUAAUCUUCAAUUGAUCUGCACAUGUGCAGCAAGUGCAAUGCAUUCUAGACACAGAAACUUUACUGUGCAUGUGAGGUAAGUGCAAACUGAGUGU